GUACACUUUGAUAGCACAUGUACUAAAAUUGGAAGCAGUACAGAGAUUAGCAUGGCCCUUAUGCAAGGACAACACACAAAUCCAUGAAGCAUUCCAUAUUUUC
ensembl:snRNA U6 U6 spliceosomal RNA